GAUGAACGCUGACAGAAUGCUUAACACAUGCGAGUCCACUUGAAUUUGGGUUUUUAACUUAGGUUUGGGUGGCGGACGGGUGAGUAACGCGUAAAGAACUUGCCUCACAGCUAGGGACAACAUUUGGAAACGAAUGCUAAUACCUAAUAUUAUGAUAAUAGGGCAUCCUAUAAUUAUGAAAGCUAUAAGCGCUGUGAGAGAGCUUUGCGUCCCAUUAGCUAGUUGGAGAGGUAACGGCUCACCAAGGCGAUGAUGGGUAGCCGGCCUGAGAGGGUGAUCGGCCACAAGGGGACUGAGACACGGCCCUUACUCCUACGGGAGGCAGCAGUGGGGAAUAUUGGACAAUGGACCGAGAGUCUGAUCCAGCAAUUCUGUGUGCACGAUGAAGUUUUUCGGAAUGUAAAGUGCUUUCAGUUGGGAAGAAACAAAUGACGGUACCAACAGAAGAAGUGACGGCUAAAUACGUG
rnacentral:rRNA from 1 species